rnacentral:rRNA from 1 species
UACGUAGGGGGCAAGCGUUGUCCGGAAUCAUUGGGCGUAAAGCGCGCGUAGGCGGCCCGGUAAGUCCGCUGUAAAAGUCCAGGGCUCAACCCUGGAAAGCCGGUGGAUACUGUCGGGCUAGAGUCCGGAAGAGGCGAGUGGAAUUCCUGGUGUAGCGGUGGAAUGCGCAGAUAUCAGGAGGAACACCGAUGGCGAAGGCAGCUCGCUGGGACGUUACUGACGCUGAGGCGCGAAAGCGUGGGGAGCGAACAGG